rnacentral:rRNA from 1 species
AGUGAACGCUGGCGGUAGGCCUAACACAUGCAAGUCGAACGGCAGCACAGGAGAGCUUGCUCUCUGGGUGGCGAGUGGCGGACGGGUGAGGAAUACAUCGGAAUCUACCUUUUCGUGGGGGAUAACGUAGGGAAACUUACGCUAAUACCGCAUACGACCUACGGGUGAAAGUGGGGGACCGCAAGGCCUCACGCGAUUAGAUGAUCCGAUGUCCGAUUAGCUAGUUGGCGGGGUAAUGGCCCACCAAGGCGACGAUCGGUAGCUGGUCUGAGAGGAGGAUCAGCCACACUGGAACUGAGACACGGUCCAGACUCCUACGGGAGGCAGCAGUGGGGAAUAUUGGACAAUGGGCGCAAGCCUGAUCCAGCCAUACCGCGUGGGUGAAGAAGGCCUACGGGUUGUAAAGCCCUUUUGUUGGGAAAGAAAUCCUAUCGGUUAAUAACCGGUGGGGAUGACGGUACCCAAAGAAUAAGCACCGGCUAACUUCGUGCCAGCCGCCGCCGUAACAC